rnacentral:misc_RNA from 1 species
CUCUGAUAUGGAGAAGAUAUAUGCUUUGUGAACACUGCAUUAGCCUCUCCUAUUAUGAUCUCUUUGCUGUUGAUAUUCGCAAUCAACUAUGCUUUUUCCCAGCCAAAGAAGAAGGAAAAAAAAAAAAAAAAAAACUGUUUCUGUUGAUGGUUGGUUGCAUUUCUGGAUUUUAGGGCUUGGCGUGCAAGAGUUGGCUAGUUUUCUUCUGUAUUGUAGUUGUUUACAGAAGAUUAUUGAGGAAUGUAUAAUUUUGUAUAUGGUAGUUCUUGUAACUUGAUCUCCUAUGCAUGAAGUGCUUCUCGUUGUUCAUAGCAAUAAUUUGCAUAGGAGAAAGAACGUGUUCAGGUAGCUCUAUGAACAUGUAGCUACAUGGCAAUUAUGAAUUAUGUACAUGUAUGGUAUCCCAUCAAUGAAGAACUCCCAUAUACAAAAUUAUACAUUCCUCAAUA